AAAGUACUCCCUCCGUCCCAAAAUUCUUGUCUUAUAUUUGUCUAGAUACGGAUGUAUCAAGUCACAUUUUAGUAUUAGAUACAUCCGUAUCUAGACAAAUCUAAGACAAGAAAUUUGGGACAGAGGGAGUAGUUU
rnacentral:pre_miRNA from 1 species